GAUGAACGCUGGCGGCGUGCCUAAUACAUGCAAGUCGAGCGAACGGACGAGAAGCUUGCUUCUCUGAUGUUAGCGGCGGACGGGUGAGUAACACGUGGAUAACCUACCUAUAAGACUGGGAUAACUUCGGGAAACCGGAGCUAGUACCGGAUAAUAUUUUGAACCGCAUGGUUCAAAAGUGAAAGACGGUCUUGCUGUCACUUAUAGAUGGAUCCGCGCUGCAUUAGCUAGUUGGUAAGGUAACGGCUUACCAAGGCAACGAUGCAUAGCCGACCUGAGAGGGUGAUCGGCCACACUGGAACUGAGACACGGUCCAGACCCCUACGGGAGGCAGCAGUAGGGAAUCUUCCGCAAUGGGCGAAAGCCUGACGGAGCAACGCCGCGUGAGUGAUGAAGGUCUUCGGAUCGUAAAACUCUGUUAUUAGUGAAGAACAUAUGUGUAAGUAACUGUGCACAUCUUGACGGUACCUAAUCAGAAAGCCACGGCUAACUACGUG
rnacentral:rRNA from 1 species